GACGAACGCUGGCGGCGUGCUUAACACAUGCAAGUGGAGCGACGAACCGGGGGCUUGCCCCGGGGCAGAGCCGCGAACGGGUGAGUAACACGUGGGUAACCCACCCGAUGACCGGGACAACCCGAGGAAACUCGGGCUAAUACCGGAUGUGCUCCUUGACCUCGAGGUCAAGGCGUAAAGAUAGCUUCGGCCUUCGCAUCGGGACGGGCCCGCGGCCCAUUAGCUUGUUGGUGGGGUAAAGGCCUACCAAGGCGACGAUGGGUAGGCUGGUCUGAGAGGACGAUCAGCCACACUGGGACUGAGACACGGCCCAGACUCCUACGGGAGGCAGCAGUGGGGAAUCUUGCGCAAUGCGCGAAAGCGUGACGCAG
rnacentral:rRNA from 1 species